CAAGAAUUGGACGCCCAACAGACCGAGCCACCCAGAUGCCCCUAGUGUGGAAGAAGCUUUAUUACCAUCCCAAUUUUAAGGUGAAAAGUUUACAAAGACUUCCUCUCAAGCCAUUAAAACAUGACAAGCCCUGUGUCCCGGAGCCUUGGAAGAACAGUGGAACACCAACAGAAAAACCAACCAACCAACACAACCAACA